UACGUAGGGGGCAAGCGUUGUCCGGAUUUAUUGGGCGUAAAGAGCGUGUAGGCGGCUAGGUAGGUCCGUUGUGAAAACUGGAGGCUCAACCUUCAGACGUCGACCCAAACCCCCUGGCUAGAGUCCGGAAGAGGAGGGUGGAAUUCCUGGUGUAGCGGUGAAAUGCGCAGAGAUCAGGAGGAACACCGGUGGCGAAGGCGGCGCUCUGGGCCGGUACUGACGCUGAGGAGCGAAAGCGUGGGGAGCGAACAGG
rnacentral:rRNA from 1 species